rnacentral:rRNA from 1 species
CCUACGGGGGGCAGCAGUGAGGAAUAUUGGUCAAUGGGCGGGAGCCUGAACCAGCCAAGUCGCGUGAGGGAAGACGGUCCUAUGGAUUGUAAACCUCUUUAGGCGGGGAGCAAUGCCGGGCACGCGUGCCCGGAGGGAGAGUACCCGCAGAAUAAGCAUCGGCUAACUCCGUGCCAGCAGCCGCGGUAAUAUGGAGGAUGCGAGCGUUAUCCGGAUUUAUUGGGUUUAAAGGGUGCGUAGGCGGAUUUUUAAGUCAGCGGUAAAAUGUCCGGGCUCAACCCGGGCCGGCCGUUGAAACUGGGGAGCUUGAGUGGGCGAGAAGUAGGCGGAAUGCGUGGUGUAGCGGUGAAAUGCAUAGAUAUCACGCAGAACUCCGAUUGCGAAGGCAGCAUACCGGCGCCCGACUGACGCUGAGGCACGAAAGCGUGGGGAUCGAACAGGAUUAGAUACCCGGGUAGUC